UGGUGGCACGGGACACAUACUGUACUGUAGACCAAUUUCUAGUUUUGUUUGGAGCUGCUGUUCCCUGGCUGCUAAAUACUAUAUUCCUUUAACUGAGAUCAUUUCCCUUUGUUUACCGGCUUCGAGCAGGACUCGGAGAAAGAAUCUGAAAGAAAAGGCCGUGUGAAGUGCCAAUAACAUGAGACAUCUGUUGUGUCUGAUGCUGAUAUGGGCAACCCUGUCCGCAACUUCAGCUUCUGCUCUCAGCCCAUCAACUGGUUUCGUGAUCGUCAGUCGUGGAGGAGUGAAGGCCUUGGCAGGGAAGUCUGAAUAUACUGGAGGAGCAUUUGGAGGAUCGCCAGCUGGAGCUUUGGGUAGUCUUGUGGGAUGGCCAAUGACAGGGGUGAUGGGAGGAGCAUUGGGCUGGGCAAUAGGACUUGAGGGAAAAGCUGCUGUAUCCACUGCCGUCGGAGCAGCAGCAGCAGACGGAGACGUGGCUGCAUUAUUUAGAUCUGUCAAAGCAGAUUAUUUCCUCAUCGACCCUGUUACUGGGUGUAUCUAUGGUAUGGUGGGAGGGGCAGUGGGAGGAGCCAAAGGUGGGGCAGUCGGUGCAUGGAAGUUGGCAGAGGCUAUGGGAGAUCAUUUAGGAGGAUCAGAUGCUGGAAAACUUCUAGCUAAUGUAGUCGCAGCAGUUACAACUGGCACUGUCACUGGAGCAGCUGCUGGAUGUUUUUUGGGGGGUGAAUAUGGAGGACAAA